CGAUCGGUUCGUCAGUCAGUCAGACUACGGACUUUCGCCAAAUGCUUUCGUGCUCUAGUUGUGCAACUAUAGAUCUUAGAUAUCGAUGGUUUUCGCUGAAAUUCUAAUAAACUAAUCACAUUUUCUAUGACAUACACUUAUGAAAUGUAAAGAAAAAGUAAUACACUCGCCGAUAAAAUUUUCCUGCGCCAGUAGAACAACUCCCAUCCGCCCCUGGCAACCGACCAAGUAAUAAAUUACGACACCGGAAAAGCAUCACUUAAACUCAAUACGCCUGACAAACAAGAUGGUUUACACGGAAGUCAUUAAACAAUUUUUGGUAGCUGUUUUGAUUACAUGCGUGUGUGCCAAAUCUGUCGAACUCAAAUCGGACAACCCCCAAAACCAAAUUGGCAACAAAGAUUCCGGAUAUCCAUUUAAUGUACAAGAAACCAGCACUGGAAUACGAAGUGUGGGAUCUCGAGGAACCUACCAGCACUCCAAUGAAAAAAUUAAAACAGCUCGUAAUUUUGGACGUUCGUCCAAUAACGGAUACAUUAAACCGAAUUUGAAUGACUUACUGGACAAAUUACCAACCCGCGGUAAACUGUUUUCGAAUUAUCAAACGACCACAGUCUCCAAAAUAAUCUGAAUAUGAUCAUUUAUUAAUUGGAAAAGGUUUGUAAAUUUUUGUACUACGUGCUCGUAGGUGUAAAUCUGUACGACAAUAAAAGUUAGCCACCUUGAAA